rnacentral:rRNA from 1 species
AGUGAACGCUGGCGGUAGGCCUAACACAUGCAAGUCGAACGGCAGCACAGUAAGAGCUUGCUCUUACGGGUGGCGAGUGGCGGACGGGUGAGGAAUACAUCGGAAUCUACUUUUUCGUGGGGGAUAACGUAGGGAAACUUACGCUAAUACCGCAUACGACCUACGGGUGAAAGCAGGAGAUCUUCGGACCUUGCGCGAUUGAAUGAGCCGGUGUCGGAUUAGCUAGUUGGCGGGGUAAAGGCACACCAAGGCGACGAUCCGUAGCUGGUCUGAGAGGAUGAUCAGCCACACUGGAACUGAGACACGGUCCAGACUCCUACGGGAGGCAGCAGUGGGGAAUAUUGGACAAUGGGCGCAAGCCUGAUCCAGCCAUACCGCGUGAGUGAAGAAGGCCUUCGGGUUGUAAAGCCCUUUUGUUGGGAAAGAAAAGCAGCAGGUUAAUACCCCGCUGUUCUGACGGUACCCAAAGAAUAAGCACCGGCUAACUUCGUG